UACGGAGGGUGCAAGCAUUAAUCGGAUUUAUUGGGCGUAAAGGGCGCGUAGGCGGGAAUGUAAGUCAAAUGUGAAAUGCCGGAGCUCAACUCCGGAACGGCAUUUGAAACUGCGUUUCUUGAGGGUAGGCGGAGAAAAUGGAAUUCCACGUGUAGCGGUGAAAUGCGUAGAUAUGUGGAAGAACACCUGUGGCGAAAGCGGUUUUCUAGCUUAUUCCUGACGCUGAGGCGCGAAAGCAAGGGGAUCAAACAGG
rnacentral:rRNA from 1 species